rnacentral:rRNA from 1 species
ACGCUGGCGGCGUGCCUAAUACAUGCAAGUAGAACGCUGAAGGAGGAGCUUGCUUUUCUGGAUGAGUUGCGAACGGGUGAGUAACGCGUAGGUAACCUGCCUGGUAGCGGGGGAUAACUAUUGGAAACGAUAGCUAAUACCGCAUAAUAGUAGAUGUUGCAUGACAUUUGCUUAAAAGGUGCAAUUGCAUCACUACCAGAUGGACCUGCGUUGUAUUAGCCAGUUGGUGGGGUAACGGCUCACCAAGGCGACGAUACAUAGCCGACCUGAGAGGGUGAUCGGCCACACUGGGACUGAGACACGGCCCAGACUCCUACGGGAGGCAGCAGUAGGGAAUCUUCGGCAAUGGACGGAAGUCUGACCGAGCAACGCCGCGUGAGUGAAGAAGGUUUUCGGAUCGUAAAGCUCUGUUGUAAGAGAAGAACAGGUGUGAGAGUGGAAAGUUCACACUGUGACGGUAUCUUACCAGAAAGGGACGGCUAACUACGUGCCAGCAGCCGCGGUAAUACGUAGGUCCCGAGCGUUGUCCGGAUUUAUUGGGCGUAAAGCGAGCGCAGGCGGUUAGAUAAGUCUGAAGUUAAAGGCUGUGGCUUAACCAUAGUAGGCUUUGGAAACUGUUUAACUUGAGUGCAAGAGGGGAGAGUGGAAUUCCAUGUGUAGCGGUGAAAUGCGUAGAUAUAUGGAGGAACACCGGUGGCGAAAGCGGCUCUCUGGCUUGUAACUGACGCUGAGGCUCGAAAGCGUGGGGAGCAAACAGGAUUAGAUACCCUGGUAGUCCACGCCGUAAACGAUGAGUGCUAGGUGUUAGACCCUUUCCGGGGUUUAGUGCCGCAGCUAACGCAUUAAGCACUCCGCCUGGGGAGUACGACCGCAAGGUUGAAACUCAAAGGAAUUGACGGGGGCCCGCACA